AGGACGAACGCUGGCGGCGUGCCUAACACAUGCAAGUGGAGCGACGAACCAGGCUUCGGCCUGGGGCAGAGCCGCGAACGGGUGCGUAACACGUGGGAAUCUGCCAAACAGUUUGGGCCAAAUCCUGAAUGAAUGAAAGCUAAAAAGCGCUGUUUGAUGAGCCCACGUAGUAUUAGGUAGUUGGUUAGGUAAAAGCUGACCAAGCCUACGAUGCUUAGCUGGUCUUUUCGGAUGAUCAGCCACACUGGGACUGAGACACGGCCCAGACUCCUACGGGAGGCAGCAGUGGGGAAUCUUGGACAAUGGGCGAAAGCCUGAUCCGGCAAUAUGGCGUGAGUGAAGAAGGGCAACGCAGCUUGUAAAGCUCUUUCAUCGAGUGUGCGAUUGUGACAAGACUUGAAUAAGAAGCCCCGGCUAACUCCGCGCCAGCAGCCGC
rnacentral:rRNA from 1 species